GCCUGGGUGGCUCAGUCGGUGAAGCGUCUGCCUUCAGCUCAGGUCAUGAUCCCAGAGUCUUGGGAUCGAGCCCCACACCAGGCU
rfam:Ailuropoda melanoleuca scaffold1467_45, whole genome shotgun sequence.